GGGCUCCCAGACUUUGAGAGGGCCAGGCCAGUCUGAGGGACCACCCCCCUCCACCCCUGGGAGCACGCAUUUCGUGCACUGGGCCUCUAGUUUUAAAUAAUGCUUGGUCGCUGAGGAAGACAUAAGUUAUAGUACGCAUCCUUAUUCCAAAAGUCUGGACCUUUCCAUCCACACCA